UUGUGGUUAAAAAGCUCGUAGUUGGAUUUCGGCGGGCAUUGGUUGGUUUGAAUUGUUUCAACACUGACUAUUUUGCCCGUGUGUUUUGCCAGAAUUUAACGGGUGCUCUUCGCCGAGUGUCUGUUAGAGCUGGCAGGUUUACUUUGAAAAAAUUAGAGUGCUCAAAGCAAGCUUAAUCGCUUGAAUAUUCGUGCAUGGAAUAAUAGAAUAGGAAGUCGUUUCUAUUUUGUUGGUUUUCGGAAAUCGACUUAAUGAUUAAUAGGGACAGUCGGGGGCAUUUGUAUUCAAACGACAGAGGUGAAAUUCUUGGACCGUUUGAAGACAAGCUACUGCGAAAGCAUUUGCCAAGAAUGUUUUCAUUAAUCAAGAACGAAAGUUAGAGGUUCGAAGGCGAUCAGAUACCGCCCUAGUUCUAACCAUAAACGAUGCCAGCUAGCGAUCUGUCGGCGUUUUAUUUUGACUUGACAGGGAGCUUCCGGGAAACCAAAGCGUGUGGGUUCCAGGGGAAGUAUGGUUGCAAAGCUGAAACUUAAAGGAAUUGACGGAAGGGCACCACCAGGAGUGGAGCCUGUGGCUUAAUUUGACUCAACACGGGAAAUCUCACCA
rnacentral:rRNA from 1 species